GUGCCAGCCGCCGCGGUAAUACCGGCAGCCCAAGUGAUGGCCGAUAUUAUUGGGCCUAAAGCGUCCGUAGCUGGCCGGACAAGUCCGUUGGGAAAUCCGCACGCUUAACGUGCGGGCGUCCAGCGGAAACUGUCCGGCUUGGGACCGGAAGACCCGAGGGGUACGUCCGGGGUAGGAGUGAAAUCCUGUAAUCUCGGACGGACCACCUGUGGCGAAAGCGCCUCGGGAAGACGGAUCCGACAGUGAGGGACGAAAGCCAGGGUCUCGAACCGGAUUAGAUACCCUUGUAGUCC
rnacentral:rRNA from 1 species